rnacentral:rRNA from 1 species
AGAGUUUGAUCAUGGCUCAGAGCGAACGCUGGCGGCAUGCUUAACACAUGCAAGUCGCACGGGCAGGGGCAACCCUGUCAGUGGCGGACGGGUGAGUAACGCGUAGGUAUCUAUCCAUGGGUGGGGGACAACCGCGGGAAACUGCGGCUAAUACCGCAUGACGACUGAGGUCCAAAGCUCGCGAGAGCGCCUGAGGAGGA